rnacentral:rRNA from 1 species
GUGGGGAAUAUUGGACAAUGGGCGAAAGCCUGAUCCAGCCAUGCCGCGUGUGUGAAGAAGGUCUUCGGAUUGUAAAGCACUUUAAGUUGGGAGGAAGGGCAGUAAGUUAAUACCUUGCUGUUUUGACGUUACCGACAGAAUAAGCACCGGCUAACUUCGUGCCAGCAACCGCGGUAAUACGAAGGGUGCAAGCGUUAAUCGGAAUUACUGGGCGUAAAGCGCGCGUAGGUGGUUUUGUAAGUUGGAGGUGAAAUCCCCGGGCUCAACCUGGGAACUGCCUCCAAAACUGCAUGACUAGAGUACGGUAGAGGGUAGUGGAAUUUCCUGUGUAGCGGUGAAAUGCGUAGAUAUAGGAAGGAACACCAGUGGCGAAGGCGACUACCUGGACUGAUACUGACACUGAGGUGCGAAAGCGUGGGGAGCAAACAGGAUUAGAAACCCCUGUAGUCC